GAUGAACGCUAGCUACAGGCUUAACACAUGCAAGUCGUGGGGAAACGACAUCGAAAGCUUGCUUUUGAUGGGCGUCGACCGGCGCACGGGUGAGUAACGCGUAUCCAACCUGCCCACCACUUGGGGAUAACCUUGCGAAAGUAAGACUAAUACCCAAUGAUAUCUCUAGAAGACAUCUGAAAGAGAUUAAAGAUUUAUCGGUGAUGGAUGGGGAUGCGUCUGAUUAGCUUGUUGGCGGGGUAACGGCCCACCAAGGCAACGAUCAGUAGGGGUUCUGAGAGGAAGGUCCCCCACAUUGGAACUGAGACACGGUCCAAACUCCUACGGGAGGCAGCAGUGAGGAAUAUUGGUCAAUGGACGAGAGUCUGAACCAGCCAAGUAGCGUGCAGGAAGACGGCCCUAUGGGUUGUAAACUGCUUUUAUAAGGGAAUAAAGUGAGUCUCGUGAGACUUUUUGCAUGUACCUUAUGAAUAAGGACCGGCUAAUUCCGUG
rnacentral:rRNA from 1 species